GACGAACCGAGCGAACGUUGUUCGGAAUCACUGGGCUUAAAGGGCGCGUAGGCGGGUGCUCAAGUCCGGGGUGAAAUCCUCCAGCUCAACUGGAGAACUGCCUCGGAUACUGGGUGCCUCGAGGGUGGCAGGGGUAUGCGGAACUAUCGGUGGAGCGGUGAAAUGCGUUGAUAUCGAUAGGAACUCCGGUGGCGAAGGCGGCAUACUGGUCCACUUCUGACGCUGAGGAGCGAAAGCCAGGGGAGCAAACGGG
rnacentral:rRNA from 1 species